rnacentral:sRNA from 1 species
AAUGAUACUUGCACCCCAAAGGGUGCCCCGCCAUGUGGAGAGGGAGAAGCGUCGCUUUGGUUGGAACAUGCCAUUGGGAGCUUUU